GCUGGCUGCACCGCUUCGGAUUGCGUCUCUCCAGUUAGCCAUGUUUCCGUGAAGCAGAGAACGUUACAGUCUCUGAUGUCCCUCUGGAAUGCUACCCUUGCUCGGAUUUCAUCAACCUUGUUGUCAAGAGACUGGACAUUGGCAAGAAGAAUGCUAGGGAGUGGUGCACGCUUGGUGAUGAGUGAUUACACGCUUGGUGAUGAGGUUGAACAACUAGGGACAAGUAUGCAUUACACCCUUGGUGAUGAGGUUGAACAACUAGGGACAAGUAUGCAUUACACCCUUGGUGAUUUGUGACGCUGGCAGCGGAGCCAAACGAACCAUCUUCGGGCGGAGGAUCCUCUUUGACCUUGCUGUUUGUUGGUGACGUGUUUUCAAUUUCCGAGUGACCAACUCACUGCAGCAGCUAGCUAGCUACAUAUUAUAACACCAUAUGUGAUUUAACCGAACGUUUUUGGUAUCC
ensembl:lncRNA